UGGUGGUGGAGGCGGUGGUGGUGGUGGUAACGGUGGAGGUGGAGGAUGGUCCGGCACUUGAGGAAGCCGGGGCAUCCACGGCGCCGACGCCUGGUUUCGUACCGACCACCAGUCCGGUCGAUAACGCCACGGCAACCCCCGGGUCGUUCCGGUUCUCCUCCUCCUCCUCCUCUUUCCACUUUCCUCCCUCUUUCACCUUCUCUGCCGCUCUUCUGCUCAAUUUUCUCCCUCUUCCAUCUUCCCCGUUUGCUUCUCUUCGACUGCUCCCUAUUCUCCUCCUCUUUUCUCUCUCUUCUUCUUCCUCCUCUUCGAACUGUACCGUCACACUUGCCUCCCACGAUUCUUCUCGACACCAUCUUCGCGUGCUCGUUGAUUCUCUUCCAUCUCCUUCAUCGAGAACGCCGCUUCUCCGCUCUCCUCCUACUUUCGCCUUCUCCUACCUAAGCCACGAUUCCUUUUCGUCCGACGGCAUCUCCCUGUUCCAGAGAAGAGGCUCGUGUUUUCCACCCUCGUCCGUCCAUCCCUCGACGUUGCUCGCCGUUGUUGCUGCCACCCCUGCGUCUUCGUCUCUUUCGCAUGCCAGUCGAGUGCGAGCCGAACCAGACGAAAUACAGAGACGGUCCGCGUAGAAACCAGGGUCAAAAUAGAGACGGUAGAGAUGUUCUCUUUGUCUAAGCUGGCAGCAACAGACAGCCCUCUCUCUCUCUGACUGGAAACGGUGGAACGGUCCACCACGUACGCCUCGAGUCCGUACAACUGCAUUCUCUGAUACUUGGCCUGCGCGAUCAAUUGCACUUUCGAAGAGAAUCACCACCGACGAUCGUCUUCGCACGCAGGCCACGAUUAUUUCCGACUCCGUCUCCGAGUGGAAAAGCGGAUGAGCAUAUCGGAACUUUGACAUCGAUCUUCGAGGAGGAAUUACGUGUUUAUUAAAGGGACGAAAUGACUGGCAGAAUGGUAGAAAGAAGGGAAUAGUUGUUAUCGUGCCAUCGAAUGGAUGGUUCCGAGGAAGGCUAACAAUUUUCCCUGGCUGUUUAUGCGAGCGUUGCGGUGCCGCGUCUUUCGAGUAUUUUAUGGAUUGCAAGAUUAUUUAAGAGAAAAUCAUCGCUAUUUAUAUAAAGUACCGAUGUAACGUUAUCGUAUAACUUUAACACGAUAUCAUCUGUGUUGAGGUUAUCCGAUCGAGGAACGCGUGGAUGAACGCGCGAUAGGAAUACAUUGAAAUAAGUUUAAGUACAGGUAUAAGUACGGCGUAUGCUGAUUCUUUGUCUACUUAUGAAACACGAUAUUUUCUAAGAGGGUAGGUCGCUAAGAGAAAAUGACCAAUUACUAUAGCAUCGACAAAGAUUUUCCUAAUUAUUUUCAUUUAUUCAGCCCCAUCGACUGAAAGCUGCUGAAACCUUUUGCUUUUUUAUUUCGAACGCGUAUCGACGCGAUAUACGUAAUUGCUUGAUCGGAGAAAAGCGUUCGACAAUCUACGGAUUAACCAGAGAUCAAGGCAACAAGACCGAAUAUAAAUAUUUGAACCGAUCGCUCGUAAACUAAAAGUCCCGCGAGAAUUCUGUUCGCUAAGCAACGCGACGUACACGAGGCUCGAUAUACGCGUUAAAUCCGCAUCGACGUUGGAGGAUACGGCUUAAACCGCAAUCAGCGUGAAGUAACGUAGGAAAAUUCAGGACAAGCGAAGCUUUAUCAAGUUUGUGUCUUACGAACGGCCACUCGUUGCUGGAGAACGACGAGAGAGAAUCGCAGAAUUCGAACGCGGUCGAACGUAGCCGGAAAUUGCCUCGUUAUCCUCGACAUCGCGUCACCGUUAUUUACGUUAUUAGGAAUUUUAACGAGCGAAAGCUUACGCUUUCUCCUCGCGUCAGGCCAGCGGCAGGAGAGGAGAAGCUCGGUUACGAGCAACCCCAUUUUUCGUUCUCGACGCGCCGCUUUCUUUCCUCCCCCUUCUUUUAGUUCGCCCCCU